UACGUAGGUGACAAGCGUUGUCCGGAUUUACUGGGCGUAAAGAGCGCGCAGGCGGUCGAUCAAGUCGAGUGUGAAAGCCCCCGGCUCAACUGGGGAGGGUCAUUCGAUACUGAUCGACUCGAAGGCAGGAGAGGGUAGUGGAAUUCCCGGUGUAGUGGUGAAAUGCGUAGAUAUCAGGAGGAACACCGGUGGCGAAGGCGGUGGUCUGGGCCGGAACUGACGCUGAGGAGCGAAAGCGUGGGGAGCGAACAGG
rnacentral:rRNA from 1 species